CCUACGGGGGGCAGCAGUGAGGAAUAUUGGUCAAUGGCCGGAAGGCUGAACCAGCCAUGCCGCGUGAAGGUCAGUGCCCUAUGGGCGUUAAACUUCUUUUGUGCGGGAGCAAUAAUGGUCACGUGUGGCCAGACGAGAGUACCGUACGAAUAAGCAUCGGCUAACUCCGUGCCAGCAGCCGCGGUAAUACGGGGGAUGCAAGCGUUAUCCGGAUUUAUUGGGUUUAAAGGGUGCGUAGGCUGGGAGGUAAGUCAGCGGUGAAAUGCCCCCGCUCAACGGGGUGAAGUGCCAUUGAUACUGCCUGGCUGGAAUGCGGAUGCCGUGGGAGGAAUGUGUGGUGUAGCGGUGAAAUGCAUAGAUAUCACACAGAACACCGAUUGCGAAGGCAUCUCACGAAGCCGCGAUUGACGCUGAUGCACGAAAGCGUGGGUAUCAAACAGGAUUAGAUACCCGAGUAGUC
rnacentral:rRNA from 1 species